CCUACGGGAGGCAGCAGUGGGGAAUCUUGCGCAAUGGGCGAAAGCCUGACGCAGCAACGCCGCGUGCGGGAAGAAGGCUUUCGGGCUGUAAACCGCUUUCAGCAGGAACGAAAAUGACGGUACCUGCAGAAGAAGGAGCGGCCAACUAUGUGCCAGCAGCCGCGGUGAUACAUAGGCUUCAAGCGUUGUCCGGAUUUAUUGGGCGUAAAGAGUUCGUAGGCGGUCGAGUAAGUCGGGUGUGAAAAUUCUGGGCUCAACCCAGAGACGCCACCCGAUACUGCUUGACUUGAGUUCGAUAGGGGAGUGGGGAAUUCCUAGUGUAGCGGUGAAAUGCGCAGAUAUUAGGAGGAACACCGGUGGCGAAGGCGCCACUCUGGAUCGAUACUGACGCUGAGGAACGAAAGCAUGGGUAGCAAACAGGAUUAGAUACCCUGGUAGUCCAUGCCGUAAACGGUGGGCACUAGGUGUGGGUUUCUAUUAACGAAAUCCGCGCCGUCGCUAACGCAUUAAGUGCCCCGCCUGGGGGUAGGUACGGUCGCGAGACGAAACUACGAAGAAGUAAGUACGCGUUGAGUACGUUGCCGACGGCGACGACGAGGGAGGAGG
rnacentral:rRNA from 1 species